rnacentral:rRNA from 1 species
GAAUAUUGGACAAUGGGGGCAACCCUGAUCCAGCCAUGCCGCGUGAGUGAAGAAGGCCCUAGGGUUGUAAAACUCUUUCGGCGGGGAAGAUGAUGACGGUACCCGCAGAAGAAGCCCCGGCUAACUUCGUGCCAGCGGCCGCGGUAAUACGAAGGGGGCUAGCGUUGUUCGGAAUUACUGGGCGUAAAGGGCGUGUAGGCGGCUCAUUAAGUCAUGUGUGAAAGCCCCGGGCUUAACCCGGGAAUUGCGCUUGAGACUGGUGGGCUAGAAUCCGGGAGAGGGUAGUGGAAUUCCCAGUGUAGAGGUGAAAUUCGUAGAUAUUGGGAAGAACACCAGUGGCGAAGGCGGCUACCUGGACCGGUAUUGACGCUGAGGCGCGAAAGCGUGGGGAGCAAACAGG